rnacentral:rRNA from 1 species
UACCAGCACCCCGAGUGGUCGGGACGAUUAUUGGGCCUAAAGCAUCCGUAGCCGGUACUGCAAGUCUUCCGUUAAAUCCACCUGCUCAACAGUUGGGCUGCGGAGGAUACUACAGCGCUAGGAGGCGGGAGAGGCAAGCGGUACUCAUUGGGUAGGGGUAAAAUCCACUGAUCCAUUGAAGACCACCAGUGGCGAAGGCGGCUCACUGGUCCAUUACUGACGCUGAGGUGCGAAAGCGUGGGGAGCGAACGGG